ensembl:lncRNA
ACCCUAAUGAGACCCCUGUAUUAGAGAGAAGAAGAGUAAUUUUCUCAUAGACUUCUAUGGGAGCAGAGGAGUCGCCCCCUGCUGGUCACUACAGAGAAGUAGAGUCAUUUCCUCAUAGACGUCUAUGGGAGCAGAGGAGUCGCCCCCUGCUGGUCACUACAGAGAAGUAGAGUCAUUUCCUCAUAGACGUCUAUGGGAGCAGAGGAGUCGCCCCCUGCUGGUCACUGCAGAGAAGUAGAGUCAUUUCCUCAUAGACGUCUAUGGGAGCAGAGGAGUCGCCCCCUGAUGGUCACUACAGAGAAGUAGAGUCAUUUCCUCAUAGACGUCUAUGGGAGCAGAGGAGUCGCCCCCUGCUGGUCACUACAGAGAAGUAGAGUCAUUUCCUCAUAGACGUCUAUGGGAGCAGAGGAGUCGCCCCCUGCUGGUCACUACAGAGAAGUAGAGUCAUUUCCUCAUAGACGUCUAUGGGAGCAGAGGAGUCGCCCCCUGCUGGUCACUACAGAGAAGUAGAGUCAUUUCCUCAUAGACGUCUAUGGGAGCAGAGGAGUCGCCUCCUGCUGGUCACUACAGAGAAGUAGAGUCAUUUCCUCAUAGACGUCUAUGGGAGCAGAGGAGUCGCCCCCUGCUGGUCACUACAGAGAAGUAGAGUCAUUUCCUCAUAGACGUCUAUGGGACAGAGGAGUCGCCCCCUGCUGGUCAGUGCACAGAAUGCAGCAUUAACGUACUUCCUCGUUGCCUCCUGGUCCCAGUUGUGCGCUUGUCAAUGUAAACACACCGUCAUGUAAACAUCCUCUUGUCUCCCGCUGCCUGCGCGGACGGCUUGGCUCAGACUUUUUAUUUAUUUCGCCCCCCCCCCCUCGGAGAUGGAGCGCUGAUUGCCUGUCCCCCGCUGUCCUGCAGCGCGGGAGUGAUCUGCAGGCGUGAGGACAGCAGGCCAUUAUUCAGUCUUUACAUGUGCUGCUUCUUAUCAGGGCUCAGGGUUGACUGAGGCAGCUGCUCUUGUCAACACACGCCGCCCCCCCCCCCCCAGAGUGUCCUUUGAGGGGGGGGGGGGGGGGGGGGUUUGACGGGACCGCUCAACAAACCCCUCCAGGAACAAAAAGAAAAAUACAAAAAAUACAAGUAAACGGUAAGUGUUG